AAAGGAGUUAACGGCUAAUUGUUUUAUUUUUUUCUAAAAAAUAUAUAUAUAUUUAUUUCUAUUAUAUAUAUAUUUUUUUCUCUGCUCUUUUCUCCCUUAAACUUUUUAGUGAACUUCACCAAGCUUUAUUAAAUAGUUAAAAUUGUAAAAACCUAAGAGAUAUUUUUAAAAAAAAAAGUGUUAAUAUAAUUGAAUAUAUUGUUUAUUUUUGGGGUUCCCCCUUUGUUGUUGUGAGUGGGGCGCUAAUUAGUGUGGCACCGUUCCUGUUGAUACUGAGCUUUCGCGGCAAAAUGCCCCAAAAGCACUGCAGCUGCUGAGCUGGCGAGAGAGAGAGAGAGAAGUAGGGGAGGGAGAGACAGAGCCUGUGUGUGUAUGCCUGUGCACUAAUUCUGCCCCAUGUCUCACUCAGGUAUGAGUCGAUGUUAAAAGUGGUUUACUUAAUGUUUUAUAACUUUAGAGUUGGUUAAAAAAAAUGAAUUUAAAAAAUAUUUGAAUCAGUUAUUUUUCUCUGUUUUAGUUUAUUGUGUAGUUUAACUGGUCAUGUGCUCUGCCAAUGUUUUAACUAUAUAGCUAACUGUUGGUUAUUGAAAAUACAUGUUUUAAAUGUGAGCAUUGUUUCUCCUAUGUGGAGUUAGUUAUACUGCUGUUCUAUUAGCAUUUAGUUCUAUACAAGUGAUCUGUGAAUUUUUUGUAGCUUUCCAUUUUUUAUAGUUAUAUGUAUUUUAUGUAUUUUGUGAAUAUAUAUAUAUAUAUAAAAAAAAAAAAAGCACUGCAGCUGCUGAGCUGGCGAGAGAGAGAGAGAGAAGUAGGGGAGGGAGAGACAGAGCCUGUGUGUGUGUAUGCCUGUGCACUAAUUCUGCCCCAUGUCUCACUCAGAAUAAACAACGCAGAGCAUCAUA